UCCAUAUGUAGGGCCUUAGAUAACAAAGUUAGCAUCUCUGUGCCUUUUUUUUUAAUGCUUUUUUAUUAUUUUAGAAGUUUCUAGUGCUGCAAACAAGUACACUAAAUCUCUGAGAAACUUGUUAAACAUUUGUAGUCAAUGAGUUGGAGCUGUGAAAUAUUAGAGCUGGACAAGACCAUGGGGAUCAUUCAGGUAGUCCCACUUUUCCUUUUGCAGAUGGAGAAACUGAGUUCCAGGAAUCUUGCCCCAAAUUUCAUGUUUCCUGAAUAACUCUAUUAGAACUAGACCCAAAGUCUUAUAAUUUUUUUUUUUCUAAAUUUUCUUCUUGGCUUCUUUGAAAAGAAGCAAUCAUGCUGAAGUCUACAUUUUCUGCAAUACAGAUGAGAAUGUAGGGGAGGAAGGAAAGGAGGCAGAAUCAAUUAAAGCUGGCCUCUUGCUGAACUCCACCAGGUCCCCAGCCGGACCCCCACCUCAGAAGAGGAAAUGAAUAAAUUUAAAAAGAAGAAAAAGAAAGAAGUAGGGUCAAGUCAUAACGAUCUGGCCAGAGAAGUGUGAUCCUACCAAUGGAGAACAGGGACUGUAGCCCAAAGGAGCUGUGGGACUCAGCCAAUACAUACAUGCCAGUGGGAUCCAGAAAGAGGGAGAGAGAAUGAUCUGACGACAGAAGAGGAAUAGCUGACAUGACCACCGAACAGUGGGAGAUGGAGUGAGAAUGGAAGAUGCAGUGCUACUAGUUUUGAAGACACAGGAAGGACCAUGUGUCAAGGAAUACAGGUGGCAGUCAGAAGCUGAAAAAGGCAAGCAACCAAUUCUCCCAUGGAUUCUCCUGAAAUAACCAAACAUUGGUGGAGUGGAAAGAGGUGUCUAGUGCUGGUGAGUUAUAGAAAAAAACUAGUUCAUGACACAUGCAGAUGCUAAUAACCAUGUGAGUAGCAAAGGGCUAAAACCAGUGUUUCAGAUGAUGUGCAAAAUAGUAUAUCAAAUAUAAUAUCAUUUUGUAUAGAGA